rnacentral:rRNA from 1 species
AACGAACGCUGGCGGCAUGCCUAACACAUGCAAGUCGAACGAGACCUUCGGGUCUAGUGGCGCAUGGGUGCGUAACGCGUGGGAACCUGCCUUUAGGUCCGGAAUAACUCAGAGAAAUUUGGGCUAAUACCGGAUGAUGUCCUCGGACCAAAGAUUUAUCGCCUUUAGAUGGGCCCGCGUUGGAUUAGCUAGUUGGUGGUGUAAAGGCCUACCAAGGCGACGAUCCAUAGCUGGUCUGAGAGGAUGGUCAGCCACACUGGGACUGAGACACGGCCCAGACUCCUGCGGGAGGCAGGAGUGGCGAAUAUUGGACAAUGGGCGAAAGCCUGAUCCAGCAAUGCCGGGUGAGUGAUGAAGGUCUUAGGGUUAUAAAGCUCUUUUACCCGAGAUGAUAAUGACAGUAUCGGGAGAAUAAGCUCCGGCUAACUCCGUG